UACGUAGGUGGCAAGCGUUGUCCGGAAUUAUUGGGCGUAAAGCGCGCGCAGGUGGUUUUCUUAAGUCUGAUGUGAAAAGCCCACGGCUCAACCGUGGAGGGUCAUUGGAAACUGGGGAACUUGAGUGCAGGAGAGAAGAGUGGAAUUCCACGUGUAGCGGUGAAAUGCGCAGAUAUCAGGAAGAACACCAAUGGCGAAGGCAGCUCUCUGGGACGGUACUGACGCUGAGACGCGAAAGCGUGGGGAGCGAACAGG
rnacentral:rRNA from 1 species